rnacentral:rRNA from 1 species
UUGGCUCAGGAUGAACGCUGGCGGCGUGCCUAACACAUGCAAGUCGAGCGGAACUAUUUUGACAGAUUUCUUCGGAAUGAUGGAUUUUUAGUUUAGUGGCGGACGGGUGAGUAACGCGUGAGUAACCUGCCUCUAAGAGGGGAAUAACGUUCUGAAGAGAUCGCUAAUACCGCAUAACAUAUUGAAGCCGCAUGACUUUGAUAUCAAAGAUUUAUCGCUUAGAGAUGGACUCGCGUCCGAUUAGCUUGUUGGCGGGGUAACGGCCCACCAAGGCGACGAUCGGUAGCCGGACUGAGAGGUUGAACGGCCACAUUGGGACUGAGACACGGCCCAGACUCCUACGGGAGGCAGCAGUGGGGAAUA